ensembl:lncRNA
UUACAGAGGACGCUGAUUCUGGCUUUUCGCUGCAAGAACGGACAAAUCAUUCGUCUUGGCAGCUUUUUUUUGUAUGUCUAUAUUUUGUAUUGUCAAUAAAAACAGCAAGGGUCCAUAGAAAAAUACUGUUGGAAGUUUUUUUUUUUUCCACCAAGGCAGCUCAAGAAGGUUGGACGCACAAGUACAGUGGCUCUUUUGGCCCAAGGCCAAGCCAACAUCAAAGUUAGUUCACUAACUUUACAUUCUAGUUAUUAUUAUUCUUCUGAGACAGAAUUCCAAACGUAUCUCCUCCUAGGGCUUUUAAGCCACAAGCCCCAAACUCGGCAGACACCUGCGGGAUAUAGCGGUGCUGGUUGCUAUGUCUUUUCAGAGUGAUCAGACUUAAAGUUUUUUUUUAAUUAAUUUUUAAAUGUAAAAAUACAUUACCCAUAGACUUACAUUAUCUGAGAAAAAUUGCGCCCCUAGUUGCAAUACCCGUUGCAAUACCCGUUAGAGAUUAAGGGGAGGAGUCGGGUUUCGUUUCACUUUUAAA